rnacentral:misc_RNA from 1 species
UACGGAGGGUGCAAGCGUUGACCGGAAUCAUUGGGUGUAAAGGGUGCGCAGGCGGGCGGCUAAGUCGGAGGUGAAAUCUUGGCGCUUAACGGUGAAAUUGCCCCCGAUACUGGGUGUCUUGAAUCUGACAGAGGUGGGUGGAAUUCGUGGUGUAGCGGUGAAAUGCAUAGAUAUCACGAAGAACACCAGUGGCGAAGGCGGCCGGCUGGGUCAGUAUUGACGCUGAGGCACGAGAGCGUGGGGAGCCAACAGG